rnacentral:rRNA from 1 species
GACGAACGCUGGCGGCGUGCCUAACACAUGCAAGUCGAACGGAAAAGCCCUGCUUUUGUCUGGUGCUCGAGUGGCGAACGGGUGAGUAACACGUGAGUAACCUGCCUUUUAGCUUGGGAUAACUUCAGGAAACUGGGGCUAAUACCGGAUAACAGCUCCUGCUGCAUGGCGUUGGUUGGAAAGGUGCGGUUGCUUGGGUAGCAGUCGGGGCUUAGCAGCUUGUAGGUGGGGGAGUGGCAUCCCAAGGCCUUGACGGGUAGCCGGCCUGGGAGGGGGACCGGGCACAGUGGGCCUGGGGGAGGGGCAAGAGGGAUACGGGGGGCAUGGGCGGAAAAUAUUGCACGAUGGGCCGAAGGAGGAUGGAGCGUCGUCGGGUGGGGGAUGACGGCUUUAGGGGUGGAAAGCGCGUUAGCCUGGGACGUAGCGUGUGUGACGGUAAUUGGUAAAGAAGCAACGGCUAACUACGUG